rnacentral:tRNA from 1 species
GCACCUGUAGCUCAGUUGGAUAGAGCGCUUCCCUCCUAAGGAAGAAGUCGUAGGUUCAAAUCCUACCAGGUGCG